CCUACGGGGGGCAGCAGUAGGGAAUCUUCCACAAUGGGCGAAAGCCUGAAGCAGCAACGCCGCGUGGAGGAUGAAGGUUUUCGGAUUGUAAACUCCUUUUGUUAGAGAAGAGAAUGACGGUAUCUAACGAAUAAUCACCGGCUAACUCCGUGCCAGCAGCCGCGGUAAUACGGAGGGUGCAAGCGUUAUUCGGAAUCACUGGGCGUAAAGGGCGCGUAGGCGGGAUAGCAAGUCAGAUGUGAAAUCCUAGGGCUUAACCAUAGAACUGCAUUUGAAACUGUUAUUCUAGAGUAUGGGAGAGGUAGGUGGAAUUCUUGGUGUAGGGGUGAAAUCCGUAGAGAUCAAGAGGAAUACUCAUUGCGAAGGCGACCUGCUAGAACAUAACUGACGCUGAUGCGCGAAAGCGUGGGGAGCAAACAGGAUUAGAUACCCCAGUAGUC
rnacentral:rRNA from 1 species